GUAAGAGUAUCUUCAGAAGCCAAGGUUCUCUAGCCCUCACAGACUGAAGACCAUGCAACUGAGGAAACCCCACAUACACUGCCCAUGUUUCACUUCUACUUCUCACAUCUGUCUGCAAGGCCAAGGAACUGCUAACUGACUGCCUCCUUGACCUAUGCUCUUGCUGCUGUACAUUAGGAACCACAUCAACGAAGAUGGCUGAGGAAAGCCUGGACACUCAUCCUUUGGGAACGUGUAAAAGAAAAAGCACAAGUGCCAUCUCACCUGGACUUGGGCUGCUAGGAGCCCAGCCGCCCUUCUUCCCUCGUCCUCAGGGCUUCCCUCUAUGUACCAUGCUGGAUCCUGAGGGCACAGAGCUAGGAAAGAAAAGAGAAGUCAUAGAGGCACCUCUUCCCAUCAGAAGUUCAUGUACCCUAUGGAAAUGAGGAAGGCUAUGCCCUGCCUUUGCUCCUACCAUCCCAGAGUGAGAGAUAGACCACAAGCUCCCGUUUUGAAGAACUGCUGGGUCACCAGCUCUGACCCCAGCUACCGCAGAUCCCUGAAGGAAGAAGAUAUUACACAGCAGACAACACAGUUCAGGGUACAGGUUGGUGACUCACCCCAGGAAAUAGCAGAGUCAGCAGCCGCCAUCCCCCAAGACUGGUCCAUGAGGGUACCUGCAGAGAAGGAUCAGGUUAUGACUGUGACUAAAACCCAGUGACUAAAGCUAACAAAAGAAAAAA